AACGCUAGCUACAGGCUUAACACAUGCAAGUCGAGGGGAAACGACAUCGAAAGCUUGCUUUUGAUGGGCGUCGACCGGCGCACGGGUGAGUAACGCGUAUCCAACCUGCCCACCACUUGGGGAUAACCUUGCGAAAGUAAGACUAAUACCCAAUGAUAUCUCUAGAAGACAUCUGAAAGAGAUUAAAGAUUUAUCGGUGAUGGAUGGGGAUGCGUCUGAUUAGCUUGUUGGCGGGGUAACGGCCCACCAAGGCGACGAUCAGUAGGGGUUCUGAGAGGAAGGUCCCCCACAUUGGAACUGAGACACGGUCCAAACUCCUACGGGAGGCAGCAGUGAGGAAUAUUGGUCAAUGGGCGAGAGCCUGAACCAGCCAAGUAGCGUGCAGGAUGACGGCCCUAUGGGUUGUAAACUGCUUUUAUAAGGGAAUAAAGUGAGCCUCGUGAGGCUUUUUGCAUGUACCUUAUGAAUAAGGACCGGCUAAUUCCGUGCCAGCAGCCGCGGUAAUACGGAAGGUCCGGGCGUUAUCCGGAUUUAUUGGGUUUAAAGGGAGCGUAGGCCGGAGAUUAAGCGUGUUGUGAAAUGUAGACGCUCAACGUCUGCACUGCAGCGCGAACUGGUUUCCUUGAGUACGCACAAAGUGGGCGGAAUUCGUGGUGUAGCGGUGAAAUGCUUAGAUAUCACGAAGAACUCCGAUUGCGAAGGCAGCUCACUGGAGCGCAACUGACGCUGAAGCUCGAAAGUGCGGGUAUCGAACAGGAUUAGAUACCCUGGUAGUCCGCACGGUAAACGAUGGAUGCCCGCUGUUGGUCUGAAUAGGUCAGCGGCCAAGCGAAAGCAUUAAGCAUCCCACCUGGGGAGUACACCGGCAACGGUGAAAC
rnacentral:rRNA from 1 species